rnacentral:rRNA from 1 species
GACAGAGGGGGCAAGCGUUGUCCGGAAUUACUGGGCGUACAGCGCGCGCAGGCGGCUGGCGAGGUGCCGUGUGACAGAUCCUGGCUCAACCAGGAAGGGACAGGGUAGACCGGCCGGCUGGAGGCAGGGAGAGGGAUGUGGAAUACCCGGUGGAGCGGUGAAAUGCGUAGAGAUCGGGUGGAACACCAGGGGCGCAGGCGGCAUCCUGGCCCUGUACUGACGCUGAGGCGCGAGAGCGUGGGGAGCGAACCGG